CCUACGGGAGGCAGCAGUGAGGAAUAUUGGUCAAUGGACGAGAGUCUGAACCAGCCAAGUAGCGUGAAGGAUGACUGCCCUAUGGGUUGUAAACUUCUUUUAUAAAGGAAUAAAACGAGGCACGUGUGCCUUUUUGCAUGUACUUUAUGAAUAAGGAUCGGCUAACUCCGUGCCAGCAGCCGCGGUAAUACGGAGGAUCCGAGCGUUAUCCGGAUUUAUUGGGUUUAAAGGGAGCGUAGAUGGGUUGUUAAGUCAGUUGUGAAAGUUUGCGGCUCAACCGUAAAAUUGCAAUUGAUACUGGCAGUCUUGAGUACAGUUGAGGUAAGCGGAAUUCGUGGUGUAGCGGUGAAAUGCUUAGAUAUCACGAAGAACCCCGAUUGCGAAGGCAGCUUACUAAACUGUGACUGACAUUGAUGCUCGAAAGCGUGGGUAGCAAACAGGAUUAGAUACCCGUGUAGUC
rnacentral:rRNA from 1 species